rnacentral:rRNA from 1 species
GCUCAUCACAUCCUGGGGGUGGAGGAGCUCCCAAGGGUUUGGCUGUUCGCCAAUUAAAGUGGUACGUGAGCUGGGUUCAGACCGUCGUGAGACAGGUCGGUCCCUAUCUGCUGUGGGCGUUCGAAACUUGAGGAGGUUCAACUUUAGUACGAAAGGAUUUAGUUGGACGUAGCUCUGGUGUUCCUGUUGUCACGCUAGUGGCACGGCAGGGUAGCUAACUACGGAAUGGAUAAACGCUGAAAGCAUAUAAGCGUGAAGUCGGCUCCAAGAUUAGGUUUCGUGUACUUUGUAUUGAAGUCCCCUGGAAGACGACCAGGUUGAUAGGGCGGAUGUGUAAGUCCAGUAAUGGAUUAAGCUAACCGCUACUAACGGACGAACGCUUUUCCGUA